GUGAGUUCCUUUCCUCAUUAAACUAUCUCACCCUUUUCCCAAUGCAGAGCCUGGGCUCUAAACUCUGGGAUAGUGUUUGGUUGGUCCUACUUGUUAUAAACUCUGGGACAGUGUUUGGUUGGUUCUACUUGUUAUAAACUCUGGGAUAGUGUUUGGUUGGUUCUACUUGCUAUAAACACUGGGAUAGUGUUAGUGCAGGGUAGCCUAGUGGUUAGAGCAUUGGACUAGUAACUGGAAGGUUGCAAGUUCAAAACCCCAAACUGACAAAGUACAAAUCUGUCGUUCUGCCCCUGAACAGGCAGUUAACCCACUGUUCCUAGGCCGUCAUUGAAAAUAAG
ensembl:lncRNA